AUAUUAAAAAUAGAUAAACCCACCAAUAGAGAAAGUACCGUAAGGGAAGGUUGAAAGAGGACGGAAAGUUGAUGAUCUGAUCUGAUUGAAAACAUAAAUACUUUAUGAAAGAAGCAGUUAUCGUAAAAAUACGAAAUCGUACCUUGUGUAUAAUGGAUCAACAAGUUAUAACUAAUUGCAAGCAUAAGUUAAUAAACGUAUGCCUAGUGAAAGCAAAAGCCUGUAAAUAUGGUUUAUUUUUUAUUAGUUUUAUAAUAAAAAAUGAGUUAUUAGUUAUAGACCCGAAGCCAAGUGAUCUAAUUAGGGGCAGGCCAUCGAGGGCUGAACCUGUAUAUGUUGCAAAAUAUUAGGAUGAUCUCUAAUUAGGGGUGAAAGGCCAAUCAGACUUGGGGAUAUCUGGUUCUCCACGAAAUUUAUGUACGUAGAGCAUAGAUGAAAAAAUUAACAGGGGUAGAGUACUUUUUACUUAAGGGGGGCACUUUGCUUUACCGAGUUUAGAAAAACUGCGAAUACUGUAAAAAUAUUUUAUUCUAUAGUGAGACACUUAAUGCUAAGGUUGGGUGUCAAGAGGGAAACAGCCCAGACUACAUGCUAAGGUCCUAAAAAGUAUACAAGUGAUAAAGGAGAGAAGUUACGUAGACAUCUAAAAGGUAGGCUUAGAAGUAGCCAUCCUAUUGUGAAAGUGUAAUAAAUCAUUGGAUGAUGUUUGUAAAUCUCCCAAAAUGUUCGGGGCUUUACAUACUUACCGAAGCAGUAGGAAGUUCAAAAAGUAAAUUGAACUUCGGUAGUGGAGUAUUCUAUUAAUAAUAAGAAACUAAAACAGUUAAAUUUAUCGAAAGGUUUGUAAUAGAAGAAAGAAUGUUGGUACAAGUAGCGUUAAACUUUGGUCACCGAAAACCUAAGGUUUCUAUUGUUCAGUAAUUCUGCAAUAGGUUAAACGGUAACUAAAAGGUAAAACACGAAAUGUGGUAACUUGAUGUUGUAUUAUUUUUUAUUAAAAUAUUUUUAUUAUCUUAAAGAGUUUAAUGCUUUUGUAUUUUAUAAAUAUUGCAAAUGCUUUAUUAUGUCAUUUUGGUUUUUAUAACAAUUAUAGUAGUAAUUCGGGGUUUGUAUUUAUAAAACAAGUGUCAGAUAAAUAACUUUAAGAAUUUAAACCGUACUUUAAACCGACACAGGUAGGUUAGUUAAAGAUUACUAAGGUGCAUUGAGGUAAGUAUAUUGAAGGAACUAGGCAAAAUGGCUUUGUAACUUUGGGAUAAAAGGUUUAGUUUGAUAAUGCUACAAAAGAUAAAAGCAAUUAUCAGCUUUUAAUGAAAAUUGAGGGGGGCGACUGUUUACUAAAAACACAGGACUUUGCUAAAUUUAAUAACGAGGUAUUAGGUCUGAGGCCUGCCCGUUGCUGGUAAGUGAAUAGGAAGCGUAUUUAGCGAAGAAUGGAAUCUCCAGUAAACGGCGGCUGUAACUAUGACGGUCCUAAGGUAGCGUAAUUCCCUGUCGGGUAAGUUCCGACGCGCAUGAAUGGCAUAACGACCUCCCUGCUGUCUCCAGUAUAUUCUCAGCGAAAAUGAAAUUUUUGUGAAGAUGCGAAAUAUUGUCGGCUAGACGGAAAGACCCCAUGCACCUUUACUGUGAUAAUACAUUAUUCUACAUUAAAUUAUGUGAAGUAUAGGUAGGAGGCUAUAAUUUACGCGCUAGCUUUCAAUUUUUUUUUUGGCUAAUAGUGUGAUACUACCCUCAAUUUAGUGUAGCGUUAACUAGUUUAUUUGUUGUUUUAUAAAUAAAAAUUAUACAAUAUUUAAGGAACAGUGUAUUUGAGGCAGUUUGACUGGGGCGGUCGCCUCCAAAAGAGUAUCGGGGGUGUGUAAAAGGUAAACUCAGGUUGGAAAACUCCAGCUGUUGAGCGUAAUGGUAUAAGUUUGCCUGACUGUAAAACAGAUAUGUUAAACAGGGAGUUUUUCUCGGCCAUAGUGAUCAGGUAAUUCUGAGUGGAAAGGUUACCGCAUAACAGAUAAAAGGUACGCUGGGGAUAACAGGCUGAUGUCUC
rnacentral:rRNA from 1 species